rnacentral:rRNA from 1 species
GACGAACGCUGGCGGCGUGCCUAACACAUGCAAGUCGAACGGGGUAAUUUCUUCGGAGAUUACUUAGUGGCGAACGGGUGAGUAACGCGUGAGAAACCUGCCUUUCAGUGGGGGACAACAGUUGGAAACGACUGCUAAUACCGCAUAAUGUUAUUUGGGGGCAUCCCCGAAUAACCAAAGCUUUAUGUGCUGAAAGAUGGUCUCGCGUCUGAUUAGCUAGAUGGCGGGGUAACGGCCCACCAUGGCGACGAUCAGUAGCCGGUCUGAGAGGAUGAACGGCCACAUUGGGACUGAGAUACGGCCCAGACUCCUACGGGAGGCAGCAGUGGGGAAUAUUGGGCAAUGGGGGAAACCCUGACCCAGCAACGCCGCGUGAAGGAAGAAGGCCUUCGGGUUGUAAACUUCUUUUACCAGGGACGAAGAAAAUGACGGUACCUGGAGAAAAAGCAACGGCUAACUACGUGCCAGCCGCCGCGGUAACAC